UACGAAGGAUCCAAGCGUUAUCCGGAUUUAUUGGGUUUAAAGGGUGCGUAGGUGGGCAGUUAAGUCAGUGGUGAAAUCUCCGAGCUUAACUCGGAAACUGCCAUUGAUACUAUCUGUCUUGAAUAUCCUGGAGGUGAGCGGAAUAUGUCAUGUAGCGGUGAAAUGCUUAGAUAUGACAUAGAACACCAAUUGCGAAGGCAGCUCACUACGGGAUUAUUGACACUGAGGCACGAAAGCGUGGGGAUCAAACAGG
rnacentral:rRNA from 1 species